ACGAGUGCCUCAAGCGUUAUCCGGAAUUAUUGGGCGUAAAGGGUGUGUAGGUUGUUUUGUUAGUCUUCUGUUAAAUUUCUCGGCUUAACCGGGAACCUGCAGGGGAAACGGCAAGACUUAGAGUGUGCGAGGGGUCUGUGGAACUCAUAGUGUAGCAGUGAAAUGCGUUGAUAUUAUGGGGAACACCAAAAGCGAAGGCAGCAGACUGGAGCAUUACUGACACUGAAACACGAAAGCGUGGGUAGCGAAUGG
rnacentral:rRNA from 1 species